rnacentral:tRNA from 1 species
GUGUCUAUAGCCUAGUGGUAAAAGGCAGCACUCUAGUAUAGUGUGAGGUUGUGGGUUUGAAUCCCACCAGACAUA